GAUCCUACGGGGCGCAGCAGUGGGGAAUAUUGCACAAUGGGCGAAAGCCUGAUGCAGCAACGCCGCGUGAAGGAAGAAGGUCUUCGGAUCGUAAACUUCUGUCCUUGGGGAAGAUAAUGACGGUACCCUUGGAGGAAGCCCCGGCUAACUACGUGCCAGCAGCCGCGGAAAUACGUAGGGGGCAAGCGUUAUCCGGAAUUAUUGGGCGUAAAGAGUGCGUUGGUGGUUACUUAAGCGCGGGGUGUAAGGCAAUGGCUCAACCAUUGUUCGCGCUGCGAACUGGGUUACUGGAGUGCAGGAGAGGG
rnacentral:rRNA from 1 species